GAUGAACGCUGGCGGCGUGCCUAAUACAUGCAAGUCGAGCGAAAAGACGAGGAGCUUGCUCCUCUGCCGUUAGCGGCGGACGGGUGAGUAACACGUGGAUAACAUACCUAUAAGACUGGGAUAACUUCGGGAAACCGGAGCUAAUACCGGAUAAUAUAUUGAACCGCAUGGUUCAAUAGUGAAAGACGGUUUUGCUGUUACUUAUAGAUGGUUCCGCGCCGCAUUAGCUAGUUGGUAAGGUAACGGCUCACCAAGGCGACGAUGCGUAGCCGACCUGAGAGGAUGAUCGGCCACACUGGAACUGAGACACGGUCCAGACUCCUACGGGAGGCAGCAGUAGGGAAUCUUCCGCAAUGGGCGAAAGCUUGACGGAGCAACGCCGCGUGAGUGAUGAAGGUCUUCGGAUCGUAAAACUCUUUUAUUAGGGAAGAACAAAUGUGUAAGUAACUAUGCACGUCUUGACGGUACCUAAUCAGAAAGCCACGGCUAACUACGUG
rnacentral:rRNA from 1 species